rnacentral:rRNA from 1 species
UACGAAGGGUGCAAACGUUGCUCGGAAUUACUGGGCGUAAAGCGCGCGUAGGCGGCCUUGCAAGUUAGAGGUGAAAGCCCGGAGCUCAACUCCGGAACUGCCUUUAAAACUGCAUAGCUUGAAUCCGGGAGAGGUGAGUGGAAUUCCGAGUGUAGAGGUGAAAUUCGUAGAUAUUCGGAAGAACACCAGUGGCGAAGGCGGCUCACUGGACCGGUAUUGACGCUGAGGUGCGAAAGCGUGGGGAGCAAACAGG